rnacentral:rRNA from 1 species
UACGGGGGGGGCAAGCGUUGUUCGGAAUUACUGGGCGUAAAGGGCUCGUAGGCGGUCCAUCGCGUCGGGAGUGAAAAGCUGGGGCUUAACCCCAGUCCUGCUUCCGAUACGGGUGGACUAGAGUAGGUAGGGGAGAACGGAAUUCCUGGUGUAGCGGUGAAAUGCGCAGAUAUCAGGAGGAACACCGGUGGCGAAGGCGGUUCUCUGGGCCUUACCUGACGCUGAGGAGCGAAAGCAUGGGGAGCAAACAGG